GACGAACGCUGGCGGCGUGCUUAACACAUGCAAGUCGAACGGAAAGGCCCUGCUUGCAGGGUACUCGAGUGGCGAACGGGUGAGUAACACGUGGGUGAUCUGCCCUGCACUUCGGGAUAAGCCUGGGAAACUGGGUCUAAUACCGGAUAGGAGCCAUUUUUAGUGUGAUGGUUGGAAAGUUUUUUCGGUGUAGGAUGAGCUCGCGGCCUAUCAGCUUGUUGGUGGGGUAAUGGCCUACCAAGGCGGCGACGGGUAGCCGGCCUGAGAGGGUGGACGGCCACAUUGGGACUGAGAUCCGGCCCAGACUCCUACGGGAGGCAGCAGUGGGGAAUAUUGCACAAUGGGCGCAAGCCUGAUGCAGCGACGCCGCGUGGGGGAUGACGGCCUUCGGGUUGUAAACUCCUUUCGCUGGGGACGAAGCUUUUUGUGACGGUACCUAGAUAAGAAGCACCGGCUAACUACGUG
rnacentral:rRNA from 1 species